rnacentral:rRNA from 1 species
CAGCAGCCGCGGGAAUACGAAGGGUGCAAGCGUUACUCGGAAUUACUGGGCGUAAAGCGUGUGUAGGUGGUUGUUUAAGUCUGUCGUGAAAGCCCUGGGCUCAACCUGGGAAUUGCGAUGGAUACUGGGCGACUAGAGUGCGGUAGAGGAUAGUGGAAUUUCCGGUGUAGCAGUGAAAUGCGUAGAGAUCGGAAGGAACAUCUGUGGCGAAGGCGACUAUCUGGGCCAACACUGACACUGAGACACGAAAGCGUGGGGAGCAAACAGGAUUAGAUACCCCCGUAGUCCCUGUCUCUUAUAC